rnacentral:rRNA from 1 species
UUAGGCUGACGCUGGCUUCUUAGAGGGACUAUCGGCUCAAGCCGAUGGAAGUUUGAGGCAAUAACAGGUCUGUGAUGCCCUUAAAUGUUCUGGGCCGCACGCGCGCUACACUGACGGAGCCAGCGAGUACUUCCUUGUCCGAAAAGUCCGGGUAAUCUUGUUAAAAUCCUUCGUGCUGGGGAUAAAACAUUGCAAUUAUUGCUCUUCAACGAGGAAUCCCUAGUAAGCGCAAGUCAUCAGCUUGCGGUGAUUACGUCCCUGCCCUUUGUACACACCGCCCGUCGCUACUACCGAUUGAAUGG